CGAAAGCGUUUUUAACAGCGCAAAACCCACUGUGAACAUACCUGUUUGUUGCUUCGGCAGGCGGCCCCAGGGCGGGGCCAGCAGCCUGUAUCUUUUUCAGGCGCCUGCCGGAGGCCACUUCAAACUCUUUUGUAUACGUACUGUCUGAGCCUAAAACAAAAUACGUUA
rnacentral:misc_RNA from 1 species